rnacentral:rRNA from 1 species
GACGAACGCUGGCGGCGGGCUUAACACAUGCAAGUCGAACGGAAAGGCCCUGCUUUUGUGGGGUUCUCGAGUGGCGAACGGGUGAGGAACAGGUGAGUAACCUGCCCUUGUUUUUGGGAUAACUUCAGGAAACUGGGGCUAAUAUCGUAUAGGAGCUCCUGCUGCAGGGUGGGGGUUGGAAAGUUUCGGCGGGUGGGGAUGGACGCGCGGCUUAUCAGCUUGUUGGUGGGGUAGUGGCUUACCAAGGCUUUGACGGGUAGCCGGCCUGGGAGGGUGACCGGGCACAUUGGGACUGAGAGACGGACCAGUCUCCAACGGGAGGCAGCAGUGGCGAAUAUUGCACAGUGGGCCGAAGCCUGAUGCAGAAACGCCGCGUGCGGGAUGACGGCCUUCGGGUUGUAAACCGCUUUCGCCUGUGACGACGCGUGAGUGACGGUAAUGGGUAAAGAAGCACCGGCUAACUACGUG